GUGGGGAAUAUUGGACAAUGGGCGAAAGCCUGAUCCAGCCAUGCCGCGUGUGUGAAGAAGGUCUUCGGAUUGUAAAGCACUUUAAGUUGGGAGGAAGGGCAGUAAGUUAAUACCUUGCUGUUUUGACGUUACCAACAGAAUAAGCACCGGCUAACUUCGUGCCAGCAGCCGCGGUAAUACGAAGGGUGCAAGCGUUAAUCGGAAUUACUGGGCGUACAGCGCGCGUAGGUGGUUCAGCAAGUUGAAGGUGAAAUCCCCGGGCUCAACCUGGGAACUGCCUCCAAAACUACUGAGCUAGAGUACGGUAGAGGGUAGUGGAAUUUCCUGUGUAGCGGUGAAAUGCGUAGAUAUAGGAAGGAACACCAGUGGCGAAGGCGACUACCUGGACUGAUACUGACACUGAGGUGCGAAAGCGUGGGGAGCAAACAGGAUUAGAUACCCGUGUAGUCC
rnacentral:rRNA from 1 species